rnacentral:rRNA from 1 species
UACGGAGGGUGCGAGCGUUGUCCGGAAUCAUUGGGCGUAAAGGGCGCGUAGGUGGCGGGACAAGCGUGCGGUGAAAGCUUGGGGGCUCAACCCCCGAGUCGGCCGUGCGAACUGUCUUGCUUGAGCACUGUAGAGGCAGGCGGAAUUCCGGGGUGUAGCGGUGGAAUGCGUAGAGAUCGGGAGGAACACCAGUGGCGAAAGCGGCUCUCUGGUCCAAAACUGACGCUGAGGGGCGAAAGCGUGGGGAGCGAACGGG